rnacentral:tRNA from 1 species
GCAGCUUUCGUAUAGUGGUUAUUACGGCUCGUUGUGGCCGAGCAAACGGAUGUUCGAUUCCUCCAGGUUGCA